UACGGAGGGGGCAAGCGUUGUUCGGAAUUACUGGGCGUAAAGGGCGCGCAGGCGGCUGCUCAAGUCAGGCGUGAAAGGCCUGGGCUCAACCCGGGAAUUGCGCUUGAGACUGGGCUGGCUUGAGUGCGGGAGAGGAUGGUGGAAUUCCCAGUGUAGAGGUGAAAUUCGUAGAUAUUGGGAAGAACACCAGUGGCGAAGGCGGCGACCUGGGUCUAAACUGACACUGAGGUGCGAAAGCGUGGGGAGCAAACAGG
rnacentral:rRNA from 1 species